rnacentral:lncRNA from 1 species
UUAGCCAAUCUCGAAUAAAACCAUGAUUAUUCAUAUUUUUAAUCAUGAAUCAAGGUUAAUCGAUCAUGACGAUGAUAAUAUUAGUUGAGAAAAAGCAGCAGCAAAUUCACAGCUUCACCGUGAAUCCAGUUCCUCAAGCUCACUAGUGUAUCCUUUACUUUGAAUCAUAUAAAAAUUCCUCCGCAUUCUAGAGACCUCUCCUCCUACCUCUGCAAUUUUCUCUCGUACGUUGAAUGAUGAUGGAGGAAUGAGUAUGAAAUAGGUGAAGAAGCUGCAUAGAGGAAAACGAGAGGACAUAGUUAAAAAGCCACAGUUAAACUUUCUUUGGGAUGUAUUGGAUUAAGACCAGGAGAAGACAAGCUUCACAUGAUAUAUAUGUUUGAAAGGAACUCAAGCAUAUAGAGAAACAGACCUGAAGCUACAAACAUCUUUGGUGAGACUCUAAAACAGACUUAUCUAUCUAUUAUGCAAGUAUUAGUAGUGAAUAUUGUUGUGAAUCUUCUUGUCUUUCAAACUUUCUUUCAUUAUAUAUAAUAUUAUAUGAGGA